ensembl:lncRNA
GUAGCAUAAACAUUCCUGUCUCUACUAAACACUUCAGUACUAGACCUGUUGGCUCCUGUAACUGUCUGGUCCCACUACAGUCUACUCUGUUCUCUCACGUAGCUCAGGUCAUUCUCCUGUAACUGUCUGGUACCCCUACAGUCCACUCUGUUCUCUCACGUAGCUCAGGUCAUUCUCCUGUAACUGUCUGGUACCCCUACAGUCCACUCUGUUCUCUCAUGUAGCUCAGGUCAUUCUCCUGGAACUGUCUGGUACCCCUACAGUCUACUCUGUUCUCUCAUGUAGCUCAGGUCAUUCUCCUGGAACU